GAUGAACGCUGGCGGCGUGCCUAAUACAUGCAAGUCGAGCGAACAGACGAGGAGCUUGCUCCUCUGACGUUAGCGGCGGACGGGUGAGUAACACGUGGAUAACCUACCUAUAAGACUGGGAUAACUUCGGGAAACCGGAGCUAAUACUGGAUAACAUGUUGAACCGCAUGGUUCAACAGUGAAAGACGGUCUUGCUGUCACUUAUAGAUGGAUCCGCGCCGCAUUAGCUAGUUGGUAAGGUAACGGCUUACCAAGGCAACGAUGCGUAGCCGACCUGAGAGGGUGAUCGGCCACACUGGAACUGAGACACGGUCCAGACUCCUACGGGAGGCAGCAGUAGGGAAUCUUCCGCAAUGGGCGAAAGCCUGACGGAGCAACGCCGCGUGAGUGAAGAAGGUCUUCGGAUCGUAAAACUCUGUUAUUAGGGAAGAACAAAUGUGUAAGUAACUAUGCACGUCUUGACGGUACCUAAUCAGAAAGCCACGGCUAACUACGUG
rnacentral:rRNA from 1 species